rnacentral:misc_RNA from 1 species
GAUGAAGAACGCAGCGAAAUGCGAUACGUAAUUUGAAUUGCAGAAUUCAGUGAAUCAUCGAGUCUUUGAACGCACAUUGCGCCCCCUGGUAUUCCGGGGGGCAUGCCUGUCCGAGCGUCAUUGCUGCCCUCAAGCACGGCUUGUGUGUUGGGCCUCCGUCCUCCUCCCGGGGGACGGGCCCGAAAGGCAGCGGCGGCACCGCGUCCGGUCCUCGAGCGUAUGGGGCUUCGUCACCCGCUCUUGUAGGCCCGGCCGGCGCUUGCCGACACAUCAAUCUUUUUUCCAGGUUGACCUCGGAUCAGGUAGGGAUACCCGCUGAACUUAAGCAUAUCAAUAAGCGGAGGA